rnacentral:misc_RNA from 1 species
GUAGGUAAACCUGCGGAAGGAUCUUUACAGUAGUCGCCUGGGUUGCCGCAAGACCUCCCGGGUAACCUACCACCCUUUGUUUAUUACACUUUGUUGCUUUGGCAGGCCUGCCCUCGGGCUGCUGGCUCCGGCCGGCGAGCGCUUGCCAGAGGACCUAAACUCUGUUUGUCUAUACUGUCUGAGUACUAUAUAAUAGUUAAAACUUUCAACAACGGAUCUCUUGGUUCUG